rnacentral:rRNA from 1 species
GAAAGCUUGCUUUCCUUGAUGACGACUGGCGCACGGGUGAGUAACGCGUAUCCAACCUUCCCAUAACUACGGGAUAACCCGUUGAAAGACGGCCUAAUACCGUAUGAUAUCGUUUGCUGACAUCAAAUAACGAUUAAAGGUUUAGCGGUUAUGGAUGGGGAUGCGUCUGAUUAGCUUGUUGGCGGGGUAACGGCCCACCAAGGCUACGAUCAGUAGGGGUUCUGAGAGGAAGGUCCCCCACAUUGGAACUGAGACACGGUCCAAACUCCUACGGGAGGCAGCAGUGAGGAAUAUUGGUCAAUGGGCGAGAGCCUGAACCAGCCAAGUAGCGUGCAGGAUGACGGCCCUAUGGGUUGUAAACUGCUUUUAUGUGGGGAUAAAGUGCGUGACGUGUCAUGCAUUGCAGGUACCACAUGAAUAAGGACCGGCUAAUUCCGUGCCAGCAGCCGCGGUAAUACGGAAGGUCCGGGCGUUAUCCGGAUUUAUUGGGUUUAAAGGGAGCGUAGGCUGUCUAUUAAGCGUGUUGUGAAAUUUACCGGCUCAACCGGUGGCUUGCAGCGCGAACUGGUCGACUUGAGUAUGCAGGAAGUAGGCGGAAUUCAUGGUGUAGCGGUGAAAUGCUUAGAUAUCAUGACGAACUCCGAUUGCGCAGGCAGCUUACUGUAGCAUAACUGACGCUGAUGCUCGAAAGUGCGGGUAUCAAACAGGAUUAGAUACCCUGGUAGUCCGCACGGUAAACGAUGGAUGCUCGCUAUUCGUCCUAUUUGGAUGAGUGGCCAAGUGAAAACAUUAAGCAUCCCACCUGGGGAGUACGCCGGCAACGGUG